rnacentral:ncRNA from 1 species
AUAAAAGCGAUGACGAAGACAGUGCGGGCUUUCCCGUUUCAGAGAGUCGGCGGCGGGUGUAAGCCGAUACGAGAAGCCCUGUCACAAUCCCUUCCGAGCUGAAAGCCCCAAAGUGAACCCGAGUAGGGCUUUCCGCGCCAUGCUGCGUCAGUGCAUAGGGCUUCAUGGGAGCCCGUGAGUGGCCUUUUCAGGCAAUUUGAGUGGUACCGCGGAUCAACUCCGUCUCAAAG